GAAAUUCAAAAACAAUCGUUAGGUCCAAAUCAUGUUGAUAUCGCUGCGUCUUUAAACAAUCUUGGUGUUGUGUAUCAUAAAACUGGAAAGUACAACGAAGCUAUAGAGUUUUACGGAAAAGCUCUGGAAAUUAAAAAGCAAUCGUUAGGUCCAAAUCAUGUUGAUGUUGCUGGGUCCUUAAACAAUCUUGGUGCUGUGUAUUCUAAAACUCGAAAGUACGACAAAGCUAUAGAGUUUUACGAUAAAGCUCUGGAAAUUCAAAAACAAUCGUUAGGUCCAAAUCAUGUUGAUGUUUCUGGGUGCUUAAACAAUCUUGGUAUUGUGUUUUAUGAAAGUGGAAACUACGACAAAGCUAUAGAGCUUCACGAAAAAGCUCUGGAAAUUCGAGAACAGUCGUUAGAUCCAAAUCAUGUUGAUGUCGCUAAGUCUUUUGGACAAUCUAGGUGUGAUGUAUGA